rnacentral:rRNA from 1 species
AGUGAACGCUGGCGGUAGGCCUAACACAUGCAAGUCGAACGGCAGCACAGUAAGAGCUUGCUCUUACGGGUGGCGAGUGGCGGACGGGUGAGGAAUACAUCGGAAUCUACUUUUUCGUGGGGGAUAACGUAGGGAAACUUACGCUAAUACCGCAUACGACCUACGGGUGAAAGCAGGGGAUCUUCGGACCUUGCGCGAUUGAAUGAGCCGAUGUCGGAUUAGCUAGUUGGCGGGGUAAAGGCCCACCAAGGCGACGAUCCGUAGCUGGUCUGAGAGGAUGAUCAGCCACACUGGAACUGAGACACGGUCCAGACUCCUACGGGAGGCAGCAGUGGGGAAUAUUGGACAAUGGGCGCAAGCCUGAUCCAGCCAUACCGCGUGGGUGAAGGAGGCCUUCGGGUUGUAAAGCCCUUUUGUUGGGAAAGAAAAGCAGCAGGUUGAUACCCCGCUGUUCUGACGGUACCCAAAGAAUAAGCACCGGCUAACUUCGUG